rnacentral:lncRNA from 1 species
UAUACAGAUUACAUUUCCUGUGGGAGAUGUCUGUUAAAACUGAGCUAAUGCCAGUUACAGAAACUUGAGAAGAGGGCUUUCUUUACUCCAGAAAGCUUUAUUUUUGUAGUUCCUAAAUUUAGGAAUAUUUUACUUCAGUCUUUGGGUCUAAAUUUAUUUCAAUUUUUUUUUUUUUAUUUUAUGAAAUGGCUUGUAUGUAGGAUGUGAGGUGAAACAGACAAAAUCUCAUGUGUGCUGUUUGUUUGUGGCCAGAUAAUGAUUUGGCUUCAGUAAUUCCUAGUUUCCAUGGAUUUACAAUGACCUUAAUAAAAUAUGUAAAAUUGGGCCAUUGUAAGGAUUAAAUAGAAUAAUGCAUUUAAAGACAGUAGCAUAGUGCUUAAUAAUAAUAAGCUUUCUAACAAAUGUAGCUCUUAUUAUUAAAGUCUAAUUAAAAGAUUUUUUGUUUGUUUGUUUUUUUAGGGCCACACCCACAACAUAUGGAAGUUUCUAGGCUAGGGGUUGAAUUGGAGCUGCAGCUGCCAGCCUACACCACAGCCAUAGCAGCACUGGAUCUGAGCCAUGUCUGUGACCUACACCACAGUUCAUGGCAAUGCCAGAUCCUUAAGCCGCUGUGUAAGGUCAGGGGUCAAACCCGUAUCCUCAUGGAUACAAGUCUGGUUUGUUAACCACUGAGCCAUGAUGGAAACUCCAAAAGGUUUUUUUUCAAAACAUCGGCAAUGGACCCAUAUGCCUAAUUUAGAACACAAACAAGAGAAAUUUCAGAUUUGAGGAUGAUAGAUUAUGAGCUGGGGACUAUUGUUAAGUUUUAGUAUUUACAUUUCAGAUUAAUUUUUUUUUCUUUUAAAAUUUACUUCAAAAUAACUUUAUGGAUUACACAUUUAUUAUAUUUUAGUUCUGAAAGUUGUGGAUUUUGGAUUGUACUUAAUUGACUGAAUAUUUUGGCAGGCCAAAUGCCAUAUCUAAUUCUUAUUUUGAAAAUGGCUUUAGAUAGAUGAUACAUACAACUAUUACAUGCUUGUAAGUAAGUAUUUUCUUGAUGAAUAUUUCUUCUAAAAUUUUUGAGGGUGUCCUAUAUCAGUUUAUCAUCUACAGACAUUCCCAGACUUUUCCAGGACUGGAUUUUUCUAAAUCCAGCAAUUUCAUUUGACCAGUGGCCAGAAUAACCUGAUUAUACUAUGAUUUUUCUGCCAAAAAUCAAUGAACACCACUAUAUCUUGUUCAUUCUCCAUCCCAAUCACUUUAGAUAAUGGAUUUUCAUUUCUCAGGGCAGUGCUGGUUCCUUUGUAGUGUAAUCAAGUGGACACAUUCAUUUUAAAUACGGAUUUCUUUUCCAGAAGUGAACUCUCAGCUAAAGAUUGGCAUAGCAUAGUAUAGUAUAUCAUAUCUUUUAGAAGCAUUUUGAAGUAUUUUACUUAUAAUGCAAAAAAAAAUAAUAUCCCUCAACUCACAUCAAAAAAAUUGAGUAUGCAGAUGGAUUUCUAACAUAUAUUCUAGAUGGAUUUUAAUGGCAAAUAAAAAAAUGGAAUCUGAUUUACUUCUGUUUUAAUGAAGAUUUUUUUCAAGUUGCCAAUGACAUAUAGAAUUCAAAGUGACUUGAGGAAAGGAGGAAUUUAUUGAGUUUCCUAAGUGACAAACCCAACGUUAGCAAAGGUCAUAUAGUACUGGAUUUGGUACCAAAAUGAUCUGUCUCCCUCUUGGCUCCACAUAACUCCUUUAACUUCCUUCCUUCCUCCCUCCCUCCCUCCCUCCCUCCACCCCUCCCUCCGCCCCUCCCUCCAUUCCUGUCUUUUUGGCUGUACCCACAGCAUGCAGAAGUUCCCAGGCCAGGGAUUCAAUCUGAGCCACAGUAGUGACCUGAGCCACAGCAGUGACAACUCUGGAUCCCUAACCUGCUGCACCAUGUGAGAACUCCCCAGGAUAAUGUAUUUUCUAUUGUUAUUGUGUGUAGCAUUCUAUAAACAUCUCUUAGCUCACACUUGUUUUUUUAUUUUUAUUUUUUGUCUUUUGUCUUUUUAGGUCCUCACCUGCAGCAUACGGUGAUUCCCAGUCUAGGGGAUGGAUCGAAGCUGUAGCUGCUGGUCUACACCACAGCCACAGCAACACAGGAUCCGAGCCAUGUCUGCGACCUACUGGUACCACAGCUCACGGCAACACCAGAUCCCCAACCCACUGAGCGAGGCCAGGGAUCAAACCUGCAUGCUCAUGGAUGCUAGUUGGGUUCGUUAACCAUUGGGCCAUGACAGGAACUCCAGUUCACACUUGUUUAUAGUAUUGCCCAUACAUUUUAUAUUUUCAUUUUGCUGCAGUCGCCUGCUUCUAAUUAAAGCCAGCAUAUCACGCAGGAUCAUUCCCAAAACCAGACUCCAGUGAUUUCCCCUCCUGUAAAAGUUGGCCAUAGGAACUUCCCAGGAAGGCUUGGAGUAAGGGAAGGGCAGGACCAACAGAAGAGAGAACUUCCUGUUUAUGCAACUUCCUCAGGCUUCAGGAGGCACUCCAGGUGAACACCAGGUAUGCUGGGCAUAAUCUAGUUUGAGUUGCUCUCAUAACACUCAGCUCAUAAUGAACUUCUCAGUUCUUGUCUCGCAGUGUCCAGCGAUCAGAUGUUCAAGCCAAAAGCUGUAUCGCAGAAGGAGAAUUACCUUCCCAACACGGCUUGGCUUUGCUCCAGAAUUCUGAGACCUUGUUUUGAUUUCCCUCACAAAGCCAGCCGCAGUCUCAUAGAGUGUUUAAUCAUCACUGGAUCUGUUGGAUCCUGGAGGCAAAAAAUGGAAGACCUGUUUAAACAGCAGUUCAUCUCAUCUGGAAAGUCUUUUCUCUCUCAAACUUCUCUAAUAGAUGACACAUCUUCAGAUAAUUUAGUAAAGGGUACUAAGCAUUGUGGCGUUUCAGUAAGGUAGAAAGAGGCAUUUCAUUUGAUACACUGUGGGAUGUUGAAGGUCAUUUACCACCUCCUUCCCCAGAAACUUCAGUGAGGUGACAGGCCUCUAUGUUUCCCAGGGAUCUACAUUUCACCCUCUAUCUCUCCCGCAAGCAGGCAAAGUUCUUACAUUUCCUUCUGUCCAGGUCCAAGGAGUAUGAUGUCACCAGCAGAGUAAGAUGUCCUUGGGCCAGUGAUGUGACUCAAGUUCCUGUUAACUGAAGGACAGCAAAGAGUCAGAACUGACCCAGUUCUGACGUAAAAUGCUACAACAUCUUACUGUUCCUUUUGGGGCAAAGCAAAUUGCUUCUAGAGCUCUCCACUUCUUACUUAAAAGAAAAUCAUUUGUGGAAGGUGUGAAGGGCUGUGAUCCCAUAAAGCCAUCUGCAGUAGGAGUGAGAUUGUCUGACUGAGCUCAAUACAUCCACUGUUGUUUCUAGCACUCAUCUGUUUUCACACUGGCUAAAAGAAACAGGGAAGAGAGAUAGCAUAGGAGUUAUGUUUUCUUAUCUCUGCCUCUGGGGAUUGUACGGUCUGUGAGGGAAAAUAACUGUAUUUAUUUCAUUCACUGCUGUAUUCAUAACACCCCACUUGGCACUUGAUCAAAGUUUAUUAAAUUAAGGGAGUUCCCAUAGUGGCUCAGUGGGUUAAGGACCCAACACUGCAUCUGUGAGGAUGAAGGUUCAAUCCCUGGCCUCACUCAGUGGGUUAAGGAUCCAGUGUUACCACAAGCUGUGGUAUAGGUAGCAGAUGUGUUUUGAUUCAGUGUUGAUGUGGCUGGGGCAUGGGCUGGCAGCUGCAGCUCUGAUUCAAGCCCUCACCCGCGAACUUCCAUUGCCACAUGUGUGGCCAUAAAAAGAAAAAAAAAGUUAAAUUAAGGAAUAUUGAGAUAUAAAGAAAUUGAAAACUGUGUGAAGGAAUUACUAUCAAGUGGAGGAUGUUUUGAAAGGUGAAGAGCCUGAAAAUAAGGAAGCCUGGGAAAUAGGAUGAAUUAGAGAGUCAUACAGCCUUUCCAUACAGUCUCAUGUCUCUGUCUCAACCACUGUUCUUUAAUUGGUAUUAGUUUAAUACCCAUCUGUGAAAAAAAUUUUUUCUUAGUAAGAACAGAAAUCAAUUUUCUUCACCUUCUUAAAAAAUUAUAGAUGCUAUGAAAAAUAAUAGCAAAUAGUAUACUUAGCAAUGAAGCAUUAAGAUAUUUU